rnacentral:rRNA from 1 species
CUUUACUGUAACUUGAAAUUGAAAUUGGACUUUACUUGCGCAGUAUAGGUGGGAGGCGUUGAGUUUAUUCUUGCGGGAAUUUAGGAGCCAUCAGUGAGAUACCACUCUGGUAAUGUUAGAUUUCUAACUUUGUAUCAUAAUCUGGUCAAAGGACAGUUUCAGGCGGGCAGUUUGACUGGGGCGGUCGCCUCCUAAAUGGUAACGGAGGCGUACAAAGGUUUCCUCUGAACGUGCAGAAAUCGUAUCUAGAGUAUAAAGGCAUAAGGAAGCUUGACUGUGAGACUUACAAGUCGAGCAGGGACGAAAGUCGGUCUUAGUGAUCUGACGGUGCCGCAUGGAAGGGCCGUCGCUCAACGGAUAAAAGUUA